rnacentral:ncRNA from 1 species
UGCCUGCACAAUUAAGUAGGUGCCCCUAGUGGGAUAAUCGGGAAGUAUGGUCGCAUACGUGCAAUUCCAUCGCUGCCCCCGCAUCGGUAAAAGAGAGUAGCUUGCAUCGCCACUGGGUAAUUGACUAUCUGGGAAGGCGCAAGUGUUGUUGUAAUACCUCUCUGAGCCCGAAGACCGGCCUGUUUACUAUUAACCCUU